rfam:Picea glauca, whole genome shotgun sequence.
CGCGGUAAGACAGAGGAUGCAAGCGUUAUCCGGACUGAUUGGGCGUAAAGCGUCUGUAGGUGGCUUUUCAAGUUCACCGUCAAAUCCCAGGGCUCAACCCUGGACAGGUGGUGGAAACUACCAAGCUAGAGUACGGUAGGGGUAGAGGGAAUUUUUGGUGGAGUGGUGAAAUGCGUUGAGAUCGGAAAGAACACCAAUGGCGAAAGCACUCUGCUGGGCGGACACUGACACUGAGAGACAAAACCUAGGGGAGCAAAUGGGAUUAGAUACCCCCGUAGUCCUAGAUGUAAACGAUGGAUACUAAGUGUUGUGCGUAUCGAACUGCACAGUGUUGUAGCUAACGCAUUAAGUAUCCCGCUUAGGGAGUACGUUCGCAAGAAUGAAACUCAAAGGAAUUGACGGGGGCCCGCACAAGUGGUGGAGCAUGUGGUUCAAUUUGAUGCAAAGAGAAGAACCUUACCAGGGAUUGACAUGCCGUGAAUCCUCCUGAAAGAGAGUGCCUUCAGGAAUGUGGACAUAGGUGGUGCAUGUUUUUCGUCUGCUCGUGCCAUAAGGUGUUGGGUUAAGUUUCGCAACGAGCGCAACCCUCGUGUUUAGUUUCCAGCAUUGAGUUUGGAACCCUGAACAGACUGUCCGUGAUAAGCCAGAGGAAGGUGAGGAUGACGUAAAGUCAUCAUGCCCCUUACGCCCUGGGAGACACACAUGCUACAAUGACUGGGACAAAGGAUCACGACCCCGCGAGGGUAAGCUAAACUCAAAAACCUGGCCUCAGUUCAGAUUGCAAGAUGCAACUCGCCUGCAUGAAGAUGGAAUCGCUAGUAAUUGUCGGUCAGCCAUACGACGGUGAAUCCGUUCCUAGGCCUUGUACACACCGCCCGUCACACUAUGGGAGCUGGCCAUGCCCCAAGUCGUUACCUUAACCGCAAGGAGGGGGAUGCCGAAGGCUAGGCUAGUGACUAGAGUGAAGUCAUAACAAGGUAGCCAUACUGGAAGGUGCAGCUGGAUCACCUCCUUU